AAUUUGCAUAAAGGACCAAAAACUUACAAACAAAUGUGCAGAGAAUAUUGUUGGAUGGGCUUUGAGCCACCAUCUUAUGAAUGAAUUUGAGCCCAUUACUAAGGAUGGAAAACUAAUUAUCUCUAGUGAAAGUGUUGGGCAUGGGUUGAGCAUACUGGAAGAAAAUAAAAAGAAUGAGAGCUCAAAGAAGACACAUAAG